rnacentral:rRNA from 1 species
UGGGGAAUCUUGCACAAUGAGGGAAACCCUGAUGCAGCGACGCCGCGUGAACGAUGAAGCCCUUCGGGGUGUAAAGUUCUUUCGACAGGAACGAUAAUGACGGUACCUGGAGAAGAAGCUGCGGCUAUCUACGUGCCAGCAGCCGCGGUAAUACGUAGGCAGCGAGCGCUGUUCGGAGUUACUGGGCGUAAAGAGUGCGUAGGCGGCGAGCCAAGUUUGGUGUGAAAUCUCCCGGCUUAACCGGGAGGGUGCGCCGAAAACUGGGAAGCUGGAGUGUGGGAAAGGCAGGCGGAAUUCCUGGUGUAGCGGUGAAAUGCGUAGAUAUCAGGAGGAACACCGGCGGUGUAGACGGCUUGCUAGACCAUAACUGACGCUGAGGCACGAAAGCGUGGGUAGCAAACA